CACCUCUCAGGAUCGCACCUGGAGAGUUUCCAGUACUUUACCAGUCUCGACUACAGGAGGGAGAGUCAAGCAGAGGCAUGAACUUUCCAUUCCUAGCUUGGACAGUGGCUAGCGAGUGGAAGGCAACCUGCUACAAGU